UACGUAGGGUGCGAGCGUUGUCCGGAAUUAUUGGGCGUAAAGGGCUCGUAGGCGGUUUGUCACGUCGGGAGUGAAAACUCGGGGCUUAACCCCGAGCCUGCUUCCGAUACGGGCAGACUAGAGGUAUGCAGGGGAGAACGGAAUUCCUGGUGUAGCGGUGAAAUGCGCAGAUAUCAGGAGGAACACCGGUGGCGUAGGCGACUAGCUGGGCCAUAACUGACACUGAGGAACGAAAGCCAGGGGAGCGAAUGGG
rnacentral:rRNA from 1 species